CUUUUUGAAAAUCUUGAAGAAUACUCCGCGGCUGCGCCACGCUCCGCAUUCGUCUCCAAAUUUAGUUGAGUUUAUAGUUUGCUUUGCUUUAACUUUGACAGUUGAUUUGUGACAUCUGUAGCGUGAUCAGGUAGCAAUUAAGCUAUGAAAUAUAUUGCAAAAUAGUGAAAAGAUUUAUGG
rnacentral:rRNA from 1 species